rnacentral:ribozyme from 14 species
AAAAAAAAGAAAAAGAAAAAGAAAAAAGAAAAAGAAAGAAAGAAAAGAAAAUC